UCAUUCUGGUUUUAGUCCUUUUUUUUUUUUUUUCCUUAAUUAGGGACUUUUCUGCUACCUUUUUGUUAUUACAAACACAUGGAUAAGGUGUAUCUGUUUGUACAUGGAUGACAUUACCAAAACCAGGGUUACUCCUGAAGAUCUGCUUGCAUAUAUUUUUUCUGACAUGCACAUUCCUUGUGUUGAAAUUUGCAGCCAAUUUCUGUUGAUAUCUUAAUUUUAAAGGUGUAGAAGAAAUAGUUACUUCAGGUUACAUGGGCUUUUCCAAUAUUCUUUCCUUAUUCUGUCUUCUUUGAAAUAAUAAAAGGUAUUUUCAACCAUAUUCAGUGAUGUGAGUUGUUUCGUUCUACUUCUAGAAUAACGGCCCAGGAGAUAAAUUAUUGUAUUCUAGAGUCACUUCAUAACAAUAGAAGCUCUCAGGAACAUGGAAUAACCCAUACUCUUUUUACAGUGCCUGAUAUGGCUGAAGAAUGAUUGCACUAACUAGUGUAGCCAGGAAGCUUUUAAUACUCAGAAGAAACAUUGUCUGUGCUGUGCUUUACAGGUACUCUCUUAUAUGAUGUUUAGUUGUAGAGCAGUGGAGACCUGAAUCUCUAUCCGGAGUUAGUAAAGAUCUUUACAUGAUGCCUUAAUGUAUUUUCUUACAAAUUAAAAUAUUCUACUACAUAGUAAAAGAAGCUGUAGUUAAAUAUAAUCUGCAUUUGGGCAGUACACCAUCUAUUAGUUUUAUUCCAAAAUGUCAGAAAUGUGUUUGCUCUAACCCAUUGAUUAGACUUGCUUCACAGCAGUGUGGUUAUAUGAAAUUGCAUAUUUCAUCCCUAUAGUUAGAACUGUACAGAUUUUCCCUUAUCCAACAAGUUGGGAGAUUGCUCAGAAGCUGUGCGAGUUUUUUGCCUCUUCAGUCCUGAGAGAGGAUUGUUUUAAGAGAUUUUGUUUGCUUGUUUUAACAACAAAUAGCUGUUGUUUGGUAUGACCUCCUUUUGGCUCCCCAUCACCUGCUCUUGGGCUCAAUUUUCUCUUAGGUCAUGUUUAGUUAUUACUGCAUGUGCUUAAUAGAUAGAAUUCUCAUGUUUGAUGUGGAACAUAUAGUGGUUUGUGGGCAUAAUAACCACCCUCCAGCCUUCUAUUUUGCUGGUUUUCAGAUAUUAAUUUAAAUUAUCUGAUUCAGCCACUUUUUUGCCCUCAUUUUUAACGAGACACAGUAUGCAAAAUCAUGUAUGAGAAAUUGAGUGUAAUUGUUAUGAAAGAAAGGAAAGUGGGCAAGAAUUUUAAUUUCUGUGUAUCUUUGGAAAAGUAAAUAGACCAAGGUAAAGUACUUUCUGAAUAAAGCACAUAACUAUAUACAUAAUUAUAGCUCAAUGCCUAAACUAAGGUAAAAUUUUAUCUAAUUCAUUUAUUGUGCUAAGAAAACAAAAUGCUCCCAGGAUUCAAUGCAAGGUACCUUCUUCCAUACCACUGCUUCACUUUUUAAAUUAUUUAUAUAUUGCUGUUCUGCCUUUAGCCAGCUUCUUGACUUUUUUACAGUUCUAACAACCCCCAUUUCUUUUCCAGAUAGACUAGGGGCUUCCCAUCUGUGUUGUGGUCCCACGGGCACCAUAUGUAGAUUAUUACCAACCGCAGGAAUCUCUGUUACAUUAUCUGAAAUUUAAACAAAUGAAAAAAACAGUAAGUAGACAUCAAAGCAAAUAGAAAUUCACCACACCAGCACCUAUAGUGCUUGUUAACAUGGAUUUAAGUAUGGAGAAGUUGAAAUUAUUUCACAGCAUGAUGGCAAAAAGUCUUAAUACCAGACCUUGGGACUCUUAUUACUAUGACUCUGUAGGAUUUUCUUGAUUACAAAAGACAGAGAAGAAACAAAGUCUUGAAGCUGCCUGUGUAAAGCUGCCUAAAUCCUGUCAGUGAUUGCUAUGGAGCAGCAACAUGAAGCAGGUUUGAAGGAAGGCCUUUGCCAUGAUUUUAUGUUUACAUCUAUGCUGAAUCUUCAGAGUGUUCCUGUUCAUUCUCAGCUACACAAGGUCCAGAUUCAGUCCAGAGUUACACUAAACAUCUGUGUUUGCUUUUACUCUUAGCUUGUCCUUAGCUUCAAAUUCUGCUACUUCUGAGGAAGGGCUUGUGUGCCCUGAAGAUUGUGGGUUUUUUUCUUAUCUACACCAGCUGACCUAAAUAAACCAACAAACCUUAGAUUUAAGCAGCUUAUUAGAAGCCACAUAGUUCAUGGUUCAAAUUCUGGAUAGACCAAAGUCACUGGAAAUGCUACAAUUGCUAUUACUUUGCCCUUACUGUACCUCAGUACAGCCGGAAUUUCUCUUUUGGAACUGCUGAAGUGCUUCAAGUUAUACAUGUGUUUAAGUGCAUUCCUGAUCUACAGCCAGGGUGCUCAGCAUCUGUCAAAAUUCUUACGAAGUUAGACAGAUCAUGGUGACACACUGUGGUGCAAAAACUUUGAUUUUAUUGGGUAAGUUAGAAAAGUCAUUAUAACCUUUUUGUCUAAAGCCUGAUACUAAAUUACUUGGGAGGAAGGUAAAAAUACUCGUAGUUUAAGCCUUGAAAUAGUAACAUCUAAGUUAAUUUCUGUUUCCAAAUUUUGUGUGUCUAUUGACUAAUUUUCUCACUACUUUCCCCUUAAAUUGACUAGAAAAAGCAGAACACUUCCUGGCAUCACAGAGAUGUGGAUAAAUAUGCAGGAUAUUCGCUGAAUGUAGUGGCAACAUGGGUUGUAUUUUGUUGGUUUAUAUGAAAUGAAUAAUUACUCAGAGAAAAACAGAUAUAGUUUUACUUCAGGAAACAGCAGUUUAUAAUCCUUCACCUUCCAAAUAGGAACAAGUGAACCCAGCACAUAUCUGGUUCUACUCCAAUGCGCUUUUGUUUGCCUUGGCAUUUGCUUCACUUUUACGUAAAUUAGUCCAAGUUGCUUGGGUGGUGUUAAUCAUUCUGUUGUUUGUCUACAUGUUCAAUAUCCUUAAAGCUUGUAGUAGUAAUGGGCUGAUGUUUUUUUUUUCAAGUAGACUGGUUCACUUUCCUCAGUAUCGGUGCAAACUACAGAAAAUCAAUGGUGGCAAGUUAUUAAUUUUCAGUUUUCAUUGUGAAUUGAAUAACAUUAUGGUGUUUAGAUGAAUAAUACACUAUGUCUAAUGGUGCCUGGUAUUACAAAUUAUACUUUUAAUAUAAUCUUCCCUUUGAAAGCUAAGAAAUUUUGCCCUGAAGUAUGCCCUUGAUCUGUUUAAGUCUCACACAUAAAAAAAGAAAUCACAUGUACCUGAGGAGGAUUCUGACAUUAUUUUUCUCUGAAUAAAGUUUGUAGAAUCAAUUGUGUAACAGAAUAAAAUAUUUUUUUUUCUAAAAAAUGCAGUGUUAAAAUAGGCAUAAAAUCUAUUUGUAAAACAACACAAAAAUAUUUUUAGUACUAUUUUGUCUUUAAAAUGUUCUAGUUAGCAAUAGAAAUAAUAUGUAUUAGAUAAAUACUGUCAACAUUAUUAAUGCCAAAUCCUAGAUCCAUUGUAAGGAAAGAAGAAUGCUGUCAUCACUAUCUGCAAGACUCAGUUGUAACUUUGGAUUACACAGUGUUGAAGAAGGGGAGCUAGUGUAGAUGCACCAAUAAAGAGAAGUUGAAAAUCCACAGUCAAUGUAUAACUCAUCAUAAAAAUGCCCAGGGAGAUUUCUCUAAUAAAAAGGAGCAGGAACAUGAGCGGCAACAGAAGAACCUGUCUGCACUGCAUCUUGCAGCAGCUUGGACAGUCUCUUCAGAAGGUGCUGCACAUCCGUCUUUUACCAAGAUGAAGGCAUGGAUUCAGAGCAGUCACCUUAUGCCAGGCAAAGCACUGAGGAGACAGCUGACUGUGUCCAAUGACAAGUACAUAAUUAAAAGGUCAGUGAUAGAUGGAGAAUCAAACUUGACAAUCCUUUUUUACAUUUCAUUAAUGUCAGUAUACCAAUGAUAAAAUAAUUUAGGAAUGAAUUAUAGCAAAUCUCUUCUAAUUAGAGAUUACAGAUUGCCUCAAUGUGAUCUUGCGGAAGAUCAACAACCAAAGCUGAUUCUCUAAACGGUGUGAUUGUCCCUUAGUUAAACUAAAGCUGUGUGACUUGACAUGGGUAACUUUGACACAGAAUUACAUAAUUUGAAUA